rnacentral:rRNA from 1 species
UGAGGAAUAUUGGUCAAUGGACGCAAGUCUGAACCAGCCAAGUAGCGUGCAGGAUGACGGCCCUAUGGGUUGUAAACUGCUUUUAUAUGGGGAUAAAGUGGGGGACGUGUUCCCUUUUGCAGGUACCAUAUGAAUAAGGACCGGCUAAUUCCGUGCCAGCAGCCGCGGUAAUACGGAAGGUUCGGGCGUUAUCCGGAUUUAUUGGGCGUAAAGGGUACGUAGGCGGUCUAUUAAGUCAGGUGUGAAAGCGUGAGGCUUAACCUCAUUAAGCACUUGAAACUGAUAGACUUGAGUGAAGGAGAGGAAAGUGGAAUUCCUAGUGUAGCGGUGAAAUGCGUAGAUAUUAGGAGGAAUACCGGUGGGGAAGGCGACUUGCUGGACACAAACUGACGCUGAGGAACGAAAGCGUGGGUAGCAAACAGG